rnacentral:rRNA from 1 species
CGUGUAGGCGGGAAGGAAAGUCAGAUGUGAAAUCCCUGGGCUCAACCCAGGAACUGCAUUUGAAACUCCCUUUCUUGAGUGUCGGAGAGGAAAGUGGAAUUCCUGGUGUAGAGGUGAAAUUCGUAGAUAUCAGGAGGAACACCGGUGGCGAAGGCGGCUUUCUGGACGACAACUGACGCUGAGACGCGAAAGCGUGGGGAAGCAAACA